rnacentral:rRNA from 1 species
UACGUAGGGUGCAAGCGUUAAUCGGAAUUACUGGGCGUAAAGCGUGCGCAGGCGGUCUGUUAAGACCGAUGUGAAAUCCCCGGGCUUAACCUGGGAACUGCAUUGUGACUGGCAGGCUUUGAGUGUGGCAGAGGGAGGUAGAAUUCCACGUGUAAGCAGUGAAAUGCGUAGAGAAUGUGGAGGAAUACCGAUGGCGAAGGCCAGGCCUCCUGGGCCAACACUGACACUGAGAGACGAAAGCUAGGGGAGCGAAUGGG